AUACGAAGGUCCCAAGCGUUAUUCGGAAUCACUGGGCGUAAAGAGUAUGUAGGCGGUUUGGUAAGUCAGGUGUGAAAUCCCGAAGCUCAACUUCGGAACUGCAUCCGAUACUGCUAGACUUGAGUAAUGGAGAGGCAGGUGGAAUUCUCGGUGUAGCAGUGAAAUGCGAGGAUAUCGAGAGGAAGACCAAUGGCGAAGGCAGCCUGCUGGACAUUUACUGACGCUGAGAUACGAAGGCUAGGGUAGCGAAAGGGAUUAGAAACCCUAGUAGUCC
rnacentral:rRNA from 1 species